ensembl:lncRNA
CUGGAGUCUUUUGUUAGCCUCUCUGGUGACUGUUUAGACGUAAAUGGCUGAUCCCAGAGCGGGAUGCGGGCCAACAGGAGUCUCCCCUCGUGUCUGGGAGCAGAAAAAAGGUGAGCUCUCACUUGUAGCUUCAAUUCAUCGUGCUUUUGGCGAUCUCAUCAAUGUUGUGGCAAAAAUGAAUGAAAAUUCAAAUACAGUCAAUGUGCUGGCUCUUCACCUCUUUAGACAAUAAAUCGUGUCGUUUUAUUGCACUAUAACCCCCCUUUUCCCCUGUAUAUGAACACCAAAAACAAUCACGGGAAGCAUUGACCUUAGAUCAACUAAUGCUUUUUAUGUGGAAAUGAUUUUCAGUGGUAUGAUCCUGGAAUUGAUUCAAUUGUUUUUGUCAAUCAGCUGAUCAGAUCAGGUGACGGGAUUAGUGGCCUACAGAAAGUUUGGGUGAAGUGGUUUUCUUUUUGUGUAGCUGUAGCUGUUCUUCAUUCAAUGUUUAUUUACAUAUUUAUUGUAUUUAAUAUAUUUUAGAGUCGGUGCUCCCUAAGACACAUGGAAAUGCUGGGUGAAGAAGAUGCGGGGUCACCGAGGGUUCGAUUCCCACAGCGGCAGCAUGAAUCUGGGUGGGCGAAGCGGUUGAGCGGUUUCAAGAAACAACGUUCAGAUGAAUCGGCAAAAGUCUGGAAGCGG